rnacentral:rRNA from 1 species
UACGGGGGGAGCAAGCGUUGUUCGGAUUUACUGGGCGUAAAGGGCGCGUAGGCGGUCGUGACAAGUCACUUGUGAAAUCUCCGGGCUUAACUCGGAACGGUCAAGUGAUACUGUCGGACCAGAGUACAGAAGGGGCAACUGGAAUUCUCGGUGUAGCGGUGAAAUGCGUAGAUAUCGAGAGGAACACCUGCGGCGAAGGCGGGUUGCUGGGCUGAUACUGACGCUGAGGAGCGAAAGCGUGGGGAGCGAACAGG